rnacentral:lncRNA from 1 species
AGCAAAAGUCAAAAAGUACAGCAGCAGCAGAGGAGGGGACGGGAGGAGAGAGAGAAAGGAGAACUGUUCAUCGUCUUCUUCGAGUCCCUCCUCGCUGCUCCGCCUACCAGAUCCCGCUGUGCCGGUUUCAGCCACGCCACCGCACUCCUGUGCUGUCGCCUCCGCCUGCCGGCUCCGAUUCUGCUCAACCACCGCUGCUCCGCCGACAACCCCCGAGCUGCCAACCACCGCCGCUCCGCCGAUCUGCUGCCGGAGCUGAAAAUUGAAACCAGCGUCCCUCCUCCGCCUAGAUCUGCUCAGCGCCUCUGCGCGAGCUCGAAGCCGGUCGCCGCACCUCGUCAACCGAGCGACCGACCGUUGCGCGAGCACCACCGCCCUCACUGACGUCGCCGCGCCGAUCUCCUCGCCGAGCCCCUGCUGCGUGCUUGCCCAUCACCGCGCCUCACCCACGACCUGCAACUCACCCCGCAGCAGCCCACUCGUCACCGUCCUCUUUCCGGCGACCCCGUGCACGACGCCGCUCGUCACCCCCCGACGCCCGCGCCAGUAACCCGCGCUGCUCCGCGAUCGCCCGGUGCCCGCCGCCCCUGCAGCACCUCCCUCCGCGACCGCCCGGUGUUUAACGCCUCCUCCUCCGUGCGACGAUUCUGCAGCCGCUCUGUGCCCACUGCUGUGGCACCACCGCCCGCGACGCCCCUCACCGUCGCUGCCUGCCAGCCCUCACCGGAGCUCCGACGCCGGUCAUCCUCCACCCGGCGUCGACCAAUCUGCU